ACGGGUGAGUAAUGUCUGGGAAACUGCCUGGAUGGAGGGGGAUAACUAACUGGAAACGGUAGCUAAUACCGCAUAACGUCGCAAGACCAAAGAGGGGGGACCUUCGGGCCUCUUGACCAUUCGGAUGUGCCCAGAUGGGAUUAGCUAGUAGGUGGGGUAAAGGCUCACCUAGGCGACGAUCCCUAGCUGGUCUGAGAGGAUGACCAGCCACACUGGAACUGAGACACGGUCCAGACUCCUACGGGAGGCAGCAUG
rnacentral:rRNA from 1 species